UAGAAACUGAACCUUAGGAAAGAUUGGCUCACAUUAACACAACUCUUGAGCAUUAGAGCCAGGUAUUCUGGGUCCUUAUUAGGGUCUCACUAACUUCCAGUUGCCCCUUCUGCAGGUCUGGAGAUGUGUGCACAUCUGAGGAACACGUGGUGCAGAAUUGAGGCCUCUGCAAGUGUAAAAUAAUAGAAGGCUCUCAGAAGUGAUUUGGCCAAGAGGAUUGGAUGGGUUAUUUUGCUUAAAUAUAGUUUUCAUUCAAGACUGGAAAAUGCCAUUGCUACUUACCUAUAUUCAUUGGAAGUUAUUUGGAUUGAUUGUUUUCUUCAUUUAAAACUGUGAUUAUGUUGGAUACACUCUUAUUUUAGAAGUUUUAG
rnacentral:lncRNA from 1 species